rnacentral:rRNA from 1 species
ACGUAGGUGGCGAGCGUUAUCCGGAAUUAUUGGGUGUAAAGGGUGCGUAGGCGGGUCGUAAAGUCAGAUGUGAAAUGCGGAGGCUCAACCUCCGAACUGCAUUUGAAACUUACGAUCUUGAGUGGAGUAGAGGCAAGCGGAAUUCCCGGUGUAGCGGUGAAAUGCAUAGAUAUCGGGAGGAACACCAGUGGCGAAGGCGGCUUGCUGGGCUUUUACUGACGCUGAGGCACGAAAGUGUGGGGAGCAAACAG